GAUGAACGCUGGCGGCGUGCCUAAUACAUGCAAGUCGAGCGAACGGACGAGAAGCUUGCUUCUCUGAUGUUAGCGGCGGACGGGUGAGUAACACGUGGAUAACCUACCUAUAAGACUGGGAUAACUUCGGGAAACCGUAGCUAAUACCGGAUGAUAUUUUGAACCGCAUGGUUCCAAAGUGAAAGACGGUCUUGCUGUCACUUAUAGAUGGAUCCGCGCUGCAUUAGCUAGUUGGCAAGGUAACGGCUUAACAAGGCAACGAUGCAUAGCCGACCUCAGAGGGUGGUCGGCCACACUGGAACUGAGACACGGUCCAGACUCCUGCAGGGAGCAACAGUAGAGAAUCUUCCGCGAUGGAGGAAAGCCUAACGGAGCAACGCGGCGUAAGUGAUGAAGGUGUACGGCUCGUAGAGCUCUGUAAGUAGUGGGGAACAUAUGUGUAAGUAACUGUGCACAUCUUGACGGUACCUAAUCAGAAAGCCACGGCUAACUCCGUG
rnacentral:rRNA from 1 species